AGAAGUCUGGGGAAGAGCCGGCGAAGAGCAAAGAGAUAACACAGUACUCCCAGCUAUAGCAAGCGGCAGUUAUGGAGCAUGCGCAGCAGCAGGGGCGGCCGCAGGUCGCCGUUCAAUAAUACUCAAGGGAUUUGUACAGCCCUGUAGGAGACACCUCCAGAGAAAGUAACAGCUCUCAAUUGAUUAGCUGAGGAGACCGAUUUUGUAAAUCACUACUUUUCUAACAACACUGGCACAGAUGGCCAAGCAUUCUCCCUUUUCUCAGAGCUGGUUUUCCAUCCCGGAAAGAGGACUUACAUAUACAAAGUUACUCUAAUCAGUUGUCUUGUUUGCCAAAACUGGGCCUUGAGAGGAACAGGCUUCAUAUGAGGAGCUGAUACCAUCAGCAUUCUUACUGAAGAACUCCUUAGUGAAAUAGGGAAGUUCAUAAAAUGCUUGUGAGAAGAUGGAAUAAAUAGGAAUUUCUGUAUUCCUCCUGAUAAGUACAACUAAAGACCCUGGACAUUAUUUAUAAAACAAACUGAAGAAGACUCUGAAAGAUAGAGAGGAGAAAGCAGACCACCUAGGGACCUCAGGACUCAAGGAACAAAACGGUAGUGAUACCUUGGGUAUUCUUUUUGCGUCAUAUAUUGCAGAAUUGGAGCUGAAGAAGCCAGCAACUCAGAAAUGCCACUAGGCAUAGACCAAAAACAGAAAGAAAAAGAAAAUCCUCAAAAAGAGCUUGUAAGCCAGGCGCAGUGGCUCCUGUAAUCCCAGCACUUUGGGAUGCUGAGGCGGGCAGAUUGCUUGAGCUCAGGAGUUCAAGACCACCCUAGGCAACAUUGUGAAAUCAUGUCUCUACCAAAAAAAUUAAAAAAUUAGUUGGGCAUGGUGGCAUACGUCUGUGGUCCCAGCUACUCGGGAGGCUGAGGUGGGCCUGGGGGGUGGAGGUAGCAGUGAGCUGAGAUCGUGCCACUGCACUCUAGCCUGGGUGACAGAGUGAAACUCCAUCUAUAAAAAGGAACUAGGAAAGCUGGAAGCAGUGGCUCACUCCUGUAAUCCCAGCAUUUUGGGAGGUUGAGGCAGGGGGAUUUACAUUAGGGCUCACUGUUUGUAUUAGGUUGGUGCCAUUAAAAAAUGGCAAAGACCGCAAUUACUUUUGCACCAUCUAAUAUUUACAUUCUAUGGAUUUUGACAAAUGUGUACUGCCAUGAAUCCACCAUUACAGUAUCAUACUGAAUAGUUUCACUACACUAAAUAUCCCCUGUGUUCCACCUAGUCAUUGCUCCCCUGGAGACCUCUGAUCUUUUCACUGUCUCCAUAGUUUACUUUCUCCAGGAUGUCACGCAGAUAGAAUUAGGUAGUAACCAGCCUUUUCAGAUUGGCUUCUUUCACUUAGCAAUAUGCAUUUAAGUUUCCUUCAUACCUUUUUGGCAUUACAGCUCAUUUUUUUAUUGCUGAAUAAUAUUCCAUUGAAUUUAUGAAUCAGAGCUAAUGUAUUCUUUCACUUAUUGGAGGAUAUCUUGGUUGCCUCCAAGUUUUCAGCAAUUAUGAAUAAAGCUGUUAUAAGC